rnacentral:sRNA from 1 species
GCUGGGUGUGGUGGUGCAUACCUGUAAUCUCAGCAACUCAGGAGGUUGAGACAGGAGGGUUGAAGAUUUGAGCCACAGAUUCAAGGCCAACCUUAACAAAUUAGUGAGGCCCUAAGUAACUUAGUGAGAUCCUGUCUCAA